rnacentral:rRNA from 1 species
CGUAGGUGGCAAGCGUUGUCCGGAUUUAUUGGGUUUAAAGGGUGCGUAGGCGGCCCUGUAAGUCAGUGCUGAAAUAUCCCGGCUUAACCGGGAGGGUGGCAUUGAUACUGCAGGGCUUGAGUAAAGUUGAGGUUGGCGGAAUUGACGGUGUAGCGGUGAAAUGCUUAGAUAUCGUCAAGAACACCGAUAGUGUAGACAGCUAACUAAGCUUUAACUGACGCUGAGGCACGAAAGUGUGGGGAUCAAACAGGAUUAGAUACCCUGGUAGUCCACACUGUAAACGUUGAUGACUCGCUGUUGGCGAUAUACAGUCAGCGGCUUAGAGAAAUCGUUAAGUCAUCCACCUGGGGAGUACGCCGGCAACGGUG